GACCGCCAGUGAAAAUCGAUUUUCACUGGCGGUUUUAUUACGCCGACCACCAGUGAAAAUCGAUUUUCACUGGCGGUC
rnacentral:pre_miRNA from 7 species